UAGCAACUCGACUCAACCUCCAACGCAU
rnacentral:piRNA from 1 species